rnacentral:rRNA from 1 species
UACGAAGGGGGCUAGCGUUGCUCGGAAUUACUGGGCGUAAAGCGCACGUAGGCGGCUUUCUAAGUCGGGGGUGAAAUCCUGGAGCUCAACUCCAGAACUGCCUUCGAUACUGGCGAUCUCGAGUUCGGGAGAGGUGAGUGGAACUGCGAGUGUAGAGGUGAAAUUCGUAGAUAUUCGCAAGAACACCAGUGGCGAAGGCGGCUCACUGGCCCGAUACUGACGCUGAGGUGCGAAAGCGUGGGGAGCAAACAGG